GAUGAAGAACGUAGCGAAAUGCGAUAAGUAAUGUGAAUUGCAGAAUUCAGUGAAUCAUCGAAUCUUUGAACGCACAUUGCGCCCCCUGGUAUUCCGGGGGGCAUGCCUGUUCGAGCGUCAUUUCACCACUCAAGCCUCGCUUGGUAUUGGGCAACGCGGUCCGCCGCGUGCCUCAAAUCGACCGGCUGGGUCUUCUGUCCCCUAAGCGUUGUGGAAACUAUUCGCUAAAGGGUGUUCGGGAGGCUACGCCGUAAAACAACCCCAUUUCUAAGGUUGACCUGGGAUCAGGUAGGGAUACCCGCUGAACUUAAGCAUAUCAAUAAGCGGAGGA
rnacentral:misc_RNA from 1 species